UGGAGGAUAAUAUGGAACAGCUUGGAGGACAGACAAACAAACAAGUUCAUCUCUCAUGUUUGACCUUAUACUAGACAUUUACGCCACCGUUCAGCAAGCCAGAUGAUAAAGUGGGAAUAAGGGAACCUUUGCUGAAAAUAUUCCAACUAUCUUCUUCGUAUAGGAUCACGCUGUAAGGGUGUAGGCUGACUUCUUUAUAUGAGAGAGCACAAGACAUGGUAAAUUAAAACCUGAGGUAUACUCAUGUGUUGUCGAUGGAUUUGUGUGAAGCAAUCUCACAGAAAAGUUAAUCAUUCGAGCAAGUGAAUGUUCGCAAUGCAUCAUGUAUAGUGGAACAAGUGAAGCUCAUUGGUGCCCUUGUCUCAGAUCACCAAAUUAUCUCUGAAACUACACCAAGAGGAUAACAAAGCAAGUGGAAUGUUGGCAAUGAAGUAUGAAGUUUUUUUGUUCUCGCUGUGUUUGGGUUGUUUUAACCACUAUUUUGGAAAACUUGCUAAUAAA